AGCAGUGUAGCCUAGUGGCGAGAGUACGGGCCUGGGAGUCAGAGGACCCGAGUUCUAAUCUCAGCACUGCCA
rnacentral:tRNA from 1 species